CGGUGUGUUUGCUGUUGCAGGACGUCUUUGCUGGUCUCGAGACAGAGGCUGACGAGGCCAUCGAGCUUAAACAGACCAGGAAGCUGUACAAGCAGCAGGGCGGUGUGCUGGCUGAUGAGGUGGGGAAUGAGGAUGGCCAACAGAUGGAACCCCGCUCAGCCUGGGUGGAGGGCGAACAGCAGCCCCUGGCCCAGGAUACCCCGGCUGACGGACAGGAGGAAUCCGAGGAGGAGAGCUCCAGUGAUGAGAGUGAUAUCCAGGCCAUGAGACAGAGGGAAGGUCAAGGAAAGAAACGGGCUCUGGAUGAGACUGACACGUUCGAAGUGGUGCCGGUGGAGAAGUCAAGUAAGUGAGACAGGGAGAGGAGGGCACGGACCAUUGUUGGCUGGGGAUACACGUGCCAGCCUCUCUCUCACAUCAUCAACCUGAUCAGAUUCCAGGCUGUAACUCACUCCCGGGCUCUCGGUU